GAUGAACGCUAGCUACAGGCUUAACACAUGCAAGUCGAGGGGCAGCAUGGAGUUUGCUUGCAAACUCUGAUGGCGACCGGCGCACGGGUGAGUAACGCGUAUCCAACCUGCCCAUUACUCGGGCAUAGCCCAGUGAAAACUGGAUUAACUCCCGAUGUUGUUCUGAUGCGGCAUCUUAUCAGGACAAAAGUUUUACGGUAAUGGACGGGGAUGCGUCUGAUUAGGUAGUAGGCGGGGUAACGGCCCACCUAGCCGACGAUCAGUAGGGGUUCUGAGAGGAAGGUCCCCCACACUGGAACUGAGACACGGUCCAG
rnacentral:rRNA from 1 species